GCAAAAGCUCAAAUUUGAAACCUUCGGGAUUGUAAUUUGAAGAUUUGGCAUUGGAGAAAGCUAACCCAAGUUGCUUGGAAUAGUACGUCAUAGAGGGUGACAACCCCGUCUGGCUAACCGUUCUCCAUGUAUUGCCUUAUCAAAGAGUCGAGUUGUUUGGGAAUGCAGCUCAAAGUGGGUGGUAAACUCCAUCUAAAGCUAAAUACUGGUGAGAGACCGAUAGCGAACAAGUACUGUGAAGGAAAGGUGAAAAGAACUUUGAAAAGAGAGUGAAAUAGUAUGUGAAAUUGUUGAUAGGGAAGGAAAUGAGUGGAGAGUGGUUGGGGUUUCAGCCUACCUUUGGGUAGGUGUAUUGCCAACGCCGAGUCAUUGACAGCGAGACGGCGGUU
rnacentral:rRNA from 1 species